UGACGAAAAGGACGCUGAGCCUUCACGUAAGCAAGCAAAGUAGAAGCAAGAUGAGGAAGCAGAGCUACCAUAGAAGCAUUAGCUUCCCCCCCGACCUACUACAAUACAACAGUUGCAACCAUAAAAUAAUAGUAAAAAAAAAAACCUUUUUCCAAGCCUUUUAGUUUAAGGAACUCGAUCUGGAUGCGUAGAUAAAUUAUUGUUGUAAAUGGUUCAGAUCUGAAUGAGAAUUUGCUUGAACUAGAUCAGACCCAAUCAGCCAAUGAUCGGAUCUAGUCGGCAUGACUAGAGAAUCCCUUUGAAGGGCGAAGGAGGUGAGCAAUGGUGAGGCCUCUCCGACGGCUCUCCGCUCUGUUUGCUUCUCCUUCCUAUUGCUCUUGCUGCCCCAAAGAAGCCAUCUCAGGCCGCCCGGACAGAAGACGUCCCCUUGAUCAAGUGCCAGAUAAUUGGGAUAGAUGAGAACAUAUUUAAUCUCAAGAAGGAAGAGGUGGAUUGGAUUCUCCAGAUUGAUAUUGUUGAGAACGGAGACAAAUUGGAGGUAAAAGAACGAUUUUUUUUCAGAGUUAAAAUGUGACUCUCCUGGCAUUCCGAAGUCACUUUGAUUUAAUGCCUUGUAUUGACUAAAUUAUAAUGGUCCUGCGGCUCGCUGCAUAUGAAGUUAAAAGGGUGUCUACAUUUGAUGAAAUUUAGGGAGUUUUUCUUUUUUGUUUUGUUUCUUUUCUCUCUCACUUCGUAAUAUGUUGUAAAUUUCCUUUCCUUAAUAAUUUCAGCAGCUUCCCACUUUCCCUCCAUUUCAUUUCAAAUAAAAAAAGAGAAAUCGAGUACCAUAAUAUGAGUGUCUUGUACAAAAAUAAAGGAAUGGUGUUUUGGCAGAAUAUGCCUCAUAAUAAGUAGUUUUAUCACAAAAAAAAAUCCAGUCCUCUGGCAUUACAUACGUGGUUUUAAUUGAUAGAGAAACUAUAUUGCAUCAUAAGAGCUGUAAAAAUGGGCGCUAGUUCAC